GACGAACGCUGGCGGCGUGCUUAACACAUGCAAGUCGAACGGAAAGGCCCUGCUGUUGUGGGGUGCUCGAGUGGCGAACGGGUGAGUAACACGUGAGUAACCUGCCCUUGACUUUGGGAUAACUUCAGGAAACUGGGGCUAAUACCGGAUAGGAGCUCCUGCUGCAUGGUGGGGGUUGGAAAGUUUCGGCGGUUGGGGAUGGACUCGCGGCUUAUCAGCUUGUUGGUGGGGUAGUGGCUUACCAAGGCUUUGACGGGUAGCCGGCCUGAGAGGGUGACCGGCCACAUUGGGACUGAGAUACGGCCCAGACUCCUACGGGAGGCAGCAGUGGGGAAUAUUGCACAAUGGGCGGAAGCCUGAUGCAGCAACGCCGCGUGCGGGAUGACGGCCUUCGGGUUGUAAACCGCUUUCGCCUGUGACGAAGCGUGAGUGACGGUACUGGGUAAAGAAGCACCGGCUAACUACGUG
rnacentral:rRNA from 1 species